CUACUCCCAGUCUGACAAAGCCAUCGUCAGUGCGUGCAACGUCGCCGAUGAACAAGAGGACAAGGAAGUCUCCGGUCCACCCCAGCGGCACCGUGGACGGCUGACCACUUCACCAGCCAUGGCGACGCAGGUACGUUGCCCAGAUGGAGGAGAAAGGCGAGGUCCGGUUUGCGUCCCGGGUGUGGCGUUUCCGUGUAGUAGCGGCCAGCGAGCAAGCUAGGUGAGUCUUGAAUCACCCUAAGUGUUUUUUACAUGCUUCAAUGUUCGCACUCAUCAGUUUGCCAGGUUGCCAUUCCUCCAAAAAUGUAUGUGCAUAGUAUCCCUCUGUGUCAAUGUUAACGAGUCUAGAAUGAAUGAGGGGAGUGAUGGCACUUUUAGAAGUUCCAUAUUAAUGCAAGUAAAUCUUCUGAAGGUAGGAGGAUUUCUGUGUUUUGGUCAACAGAACGCUACCAGGAGCUGUCCUUCAGUUUUGGAAACAAAUAUGCAUAUGAAUUCAGCUUAUCUAAAAUUUCAUCUGGAACCUUUAGUGAUUAGUGAGCCUUAGCUUUGCAAUCAUAUGGGUUGAAUGUAACUGCAAAAGAUGCGUAUUCAAAUAGGUUAUGUGGAAAAUAAUAUACUACAAGACAAGUUUAUAUUGAGCUAUCCCUCCAAGCUUGUGUUAAGUCAUUAAGUGCUGCAAAUAUUAUAGGCCAUUUCAUAAUCAGAUAAUGUUAAAUAAGGGAGAGAAUGUAGCCGACCAGCUUCAGCUAUGGCAAUAAAACUCUAACAAUAUUAGCAGUUACAACACCCACCGUUUGAGGAGAAAGCAAGAAGAACUGCUAGUGCAUAUAUCUUAGUCAGGCGCUGUGCUAAGAUCUCACAGUUAACAUAGAAAGCUGGAAGGAUUGGCUGCUGACUCCUCUGCAAAAAAAGAAAAAAACAGACAGAAUGCUGUCGCGGAUGAAUAAAGUUCAACAGUUAAUUAGUUUAUGUACUACUAUACUAGUAUGGUACAUUGGUACUCCCUCCAUUCCUACUUAUAAUUCACUUUGGCUUUGUCCUAACUCAAAGCUCUCUAAUUUUGACCAAGUUUUUAGAAAAAAUAUUAAUAAGAUCAAAUAAAUGCACUAUUAAGACAUAUUAUGGUGAUUUUGACGAAACUAAUUUGAUAUUAAUAUAUUAUAAGUGUUGAUGUAUUUUUUUAAUAGACUUCAUCAAAGUUUGUGAGGUUCGACUGAGGGUAAAACUAAAGUGAACCCUAAUUUGAAAUGGUGGGAGUAAAGUACGAAAUAUUUUAUUUUGUAAGUAUAUUAUAUAAUAAUAUACUCACAUGAACAGUAUAAGUAAUUUUGUACUCUCUUCGUUCUUUUUAGGUGUGAUGUUUUUUUUACUUCUUUGCAGUCUAGAAUAUACAUCUUUGACCUCUCCUUUUUGUAACUUCACAUAAAUAUAUGUGAAUAAAAUUGUAAUUUUAGGAAAGCAUUUUGAAAGAAAAAAAAAAUCAGUUUUUAGUAUAACUGAAAUUGAUAGUUUUAGAUACACUAGUGGUUAAACUUGUUUUACGGCAUGGACUAUGAGUUAAACAAAAAAAAGUAGGGAGUGUAUUUUAGCAAUCAAAAAUCAAAAUUAAGGAAGUUUGACGAUGCAAUAAAAUGUUAUUUUUUUUGUAUGAAGAUAAUAUAGUGUAUAUGCUUCAUUCUGAACUUCCACUGUUGAUAUAGUUAAAAGGUGAAGGGUAGUAGUUAAGUUGCCAGUUUGUAAGGAAUCGGUCAAAUCCAGUCACUCUGUUUUGGAAGCCAAUCUUCAGGCAAAGCUUGAAGUGUAGAUCUCAUUACCAACUAAGUAAUAAAAUGCUCUAAAAAAAAACUAAGUAAUAAAACAGUGCCAAGUUGUUUGAGAAACCAAUGGGGCAUAAAACAAAAGUUGGUUGAUACAUCCGUAAUAUUUUAAUUGUAGUUACAGGAAAACAAAAUUGCUGACAUCCUUGCCAAAGGAGCUAUAAAGUUCCCAGCUGAUGAAUUAAAGGUACUUGCUCUACUGUCAAGGAUGAGUGGCACUGCCUACUGUAACAAAACUGGUCAUCAAGAGCCAGCAUUUUGUAAAAUCACUUGCACCCAAUUAAGUUUUAGUGGUCGUUUGCGUUAAAAAAAGGAAGUGGUCAAUACUGUGAAAUAAAUAAAUAGUCUUUUGGCAGGAUAAGGCUGGACAUCGGUAUUGAGUAACCUUUCUACCACAAUAUAUUUCUGUACUUUUCCAAAAAAAAUGCGUGGCUACUUGAUGUAAUCCGUGUGUUUCAGAUGUGAGGAAGAAACACUCAUUUUUUGAAAUAUAUGUUUGCUAUUAUUUUGAAACUCCAGUGAUCUCUUGUGAGGAAUGUACGAUCAGGUACGAUAAAUGUGUAGUACAAGAAAAAUGAUAGUUGCAGCAUCUAUCUCAUUUGGCCAUUGAUUAAGGUUCAAACUUGCGCUAUCUCUUUCGAAACAUUCUUUGUAAACCUGUGGGCCAUGCACUAGGUUUACAUUGCCAUCCACUGAAGUGAUAGCACAAGAAAUCUUGCUCUAGUGUUUCAAAAGUGGGGACCUAGCACGUCAUGCCUUGGCCUGUAGUUGCUAGCCACAAGCCCACAACCAGAACCUUCAAGUCUUCCUUUUUCUGUACAAUAUCUGAACAAAUUAGUUAUUACUCGUGUUACUGGAUAUGUGCCUAAGAUCUAGGAAAUCAUCAAACAUAAUGCUUGACCUUCCUUUAAGCUCUUUGGGAGUGUGAGAGAUCAUUUUUGUGGUUAAAAACCAUGAAUAACUAGGAAAGGAAUUGCAAACAGAGAUUAGUUUGAGCAUGUAGGCCUCAAAAUUGGCUAAAAUUUUUUAUGCUCGUUUCAUUAUAUUUUUAGUCCCCACAGUGCUUCACACUAUGUGGUCAUAAUAAUCAAGUUAUCAAUUACUUAAGUGAAAAGUGGGGAUGGACUUCUGUGUUUGUGGCUAUUAGCGUGUUUGAGAAAAAUUUAUGGCUAUUAACUAUGAAAAACUGAAUCAAUACUUGUUACAUUUUUAUUAAAUGGCAGAUUUGCUGUAUCUAGAGCAAGAGAAUGAGAACUCAUGUAUGCUAGAAGGAAAACCUGUGCUCCUUCAAAAGUCUCAGUGCCAAUAUGUCCUGUCUAUUCUGAUGUUGUUUACUACUAUAUAUAUAAACUUCUGCCCAAAUGAUAGUUUCAUACCUAUUUGUCUUUUCUUGUGUAACCCCCGGGGGAAAAAAAUCUAUAAAAGUCAAAGGAUAUAUACUAUGCAUAUAAUGCACACACUAGAAUCAACAAAGGGAGAAAAAUGGGUGCCAUAAACUGAAUUUCUGAAACCAAGCCAAGCAAGAAGGCAACAAGACAGGAAACAAAAGAUUGUGCCAAGAAAAACAUCACAAGAACAGCUAAGCCAGUAGAGCAUCAUUACCCCCAAUUAAUUCUCUUUGCUUGUAAGGGUGAAGUGCACCGUCAUGUCAAUGGAAACCGAAGGAGCUCGAACACAGGCAACAAGGGUUUCGACGAUGAACUCACAGUGUUUUUCAGUUGCAGAACGCUAGAUGACAUGAAGUGAUAUUGGCUCGGCUCACCUCAGGCACUUGUGAAGUUUGCUGUGGAUGAGAGAUGAGCCAAGUCAAUACCAUGCCAUGUCGUCUCGUUCUAUGCUCUUGGCUCUCUUCGUCUGAAUGCUCCUUCACUGCAUCACUUGGGUGGCCUUUAUAGAGCCGGCCGCGAAUAGUUUUUAAAGAUUACAGCUGUCGUGCCUGGUGCUGGAAUGAAAUCAGAUCAAACAGCUGGAAAUUCUGACCGUGAUCAAAUUGUUCGUUUUCAACUGAUUUUUUUUAUCAAAAUUAUUUGUAUGAAAUUAUUAGACUGUUGACUCCAAAUAAAGGCCAGCGAUGGGGGUUGGAUAUAUCCUUCAGAGUCCAGUUCUUGCUGGGGAGAAAGCAACAAAAGUUGGCGCUGAAGUGUGUGUUGUGAAAACGAAGCAUCCGUUUCGUUGCUUUUGACAGGGUCAGUGACUAGUUUUUCAGGCCGGCCGUGUGUUGUCCCCUUGUGAAUCGGUCGGCAUAGCUUAGAAUAACUCUCGCUUGCCCAAAGCAAACCGACCAUAGUAAACUUACACUGACCUCAACUACAACUAGCCAUACUUUUUAUGGGAGGCUGCUAUGGUUCUGCAUGACCACAACUUUCACAGUACUUAGUCGGGAAAUAUCAUAAGGUGCUUUGGCCUUAGGCACUUGCAUGACUAAAAAAAAUCCGUUCUGACUGAAGUCCUGAAAAAUCUUUCUCAAUGAUUCCUCUUGUAAUGAUACAAAGUUGUGCUAUAGUUAAGUUUAUUCUUGAAGGGAAAAUCGUUCGAGAUGUUCCUGAAUAGCUUCCUUAGGGGUCAUUCAGUUAUCCUGGAAAAAAAAAGAGCCAGCUGAUCAAUUGUUCUACAAAAUAACCGAACGAGACCUUAACAGGGUCGCAAAAUCGAGGUCUUCCUCGCAUUCAUAAUCUCCAUUGUUAUUCACACGUCAAAUGAUGAAUAGAAUAAGAAAUAACUUUAAGCUUCAGCAGGUUUCAAACCUUUUUUCUCAAGGAAUUUUAUAGCAAGAUCUUAUAAUUUGUAUCUCAACGCCCUGCUUACUACCUUGGUGCCGUUGCUGGGUUUCAGUACCUGGAUCCAUGCAACAGUGAUCAGUCUCGGAUAGUGAUCUGCUUGGCAACAAAGAAAUCUCAGUUAGAUGGUAGAGUUCUUUCAAUAGGUGGAUUGUAUUUGGCGCAUGCUCUAUUUCUAAUUUCAACUGAAGAAAAGAAAUCAUCAGAAAAAAAACAACAACAAGUGAGCAUAGUUCGCACAGCAAUGCAUGGGGGGCCGCCACAUUAAUUUGCCUAGCAUUAGCUACAUUUUGUAAUAAUUGUGAUCUGAUGCACCCAUGGUAGAGCCGAAAAUUUUCUAUUAUAAAACAACCAUUCAACAGUGAAUAUAGAGCUUAUCAGAGCUUAUCAGCUGAAUCUACCAGCCAUUCAACAAUGUUUUUCUCUCACAAUAAAUCAGCCAAGAGUACUUUCUGUCAUGACUUAUCAGCCAAAUGAACAUGGCCGGGCCGUUAAAGAAUGGGAACUACAAGUUUAUGUAGUGUCUAGUGUAUUUAAUGUUCCACUCACACUAUCUAGUAAGGUUGGCAACUACAAGUUUAUCUAGUGGCUCUAAUGUUCCACCCACAAACUCUUUCACAACUUAUAGCUAAUUCUAUCAACUAGUCUAAGCUACUCUAGAAAAGGUAAAUGCACAUAGUCGCAAAAACGUGGUUAGUAAAGCUCAUGUUAGGAAGAGCAAACUCCAAACUUGAGUGAUGUCUUUCAUGGUGUCUAUUGUCAAAAGUCAAUCUAUAGUCCACAUUAGAGCUUUACAAGGACAAUAUGCUCUCGGUCAUGGUGUUGUGCUCGCCACCAAGGCUCCUACCAACCAAGACAGGUGCUGCAAGUCACUUAGGUUCACCAUUUGUCGUUUGACUCUCAGACACCAAAGGUGCAAUCCACUAUGGAGACUUAAUUACUAUCCCAACGACGUGACUUGGGGAAGGCUCUCUAACCCAACAUAUUCUUUGAGGAGCCUCAACUUGGAAUAUAUUUUGGCAAUUGAUAUUGGGAUGUCAUGUCUUGGGAGUGUGCCCUUCCUCAUUUGAGCUCCACAUUUGUGCUUCUACUCUUUCUCCUUUACCUUUCCUAGAGUGCUAGGCUAGUUGAUAGGAUUUUCUAUAGGUUGCAACACUCUUUGUGGGUGGGUAAGUUAGAGACACAACAUAAACUCUAGAUACACAUAUUGGUAGUUAGUUGUUUUAGUUUAUCUAGUGUGGAAUCAAGUUUUUCUUAGGUUAAUAAAGUUUUUGUGAACCCACACCCUCGUCCUCCUCUUGGCUCACAGUUUGGACCCUUGCAAUAGGACCUCAGUUUCCCUUCACCCAUGCUCUUCUUCAUACUUCUAGAUGUUGACUUCCUCAUUGCUCGUUUUCUCGAGACAUGCUUGCCCCCGUGCUAAACCCAUGCUCUUGCAGGUAUGAAUUAUGUCCUAGCUAGGUGGGAUGAGAACUUGAUUUUUGGGGAUUGGCGUGUCCCUAUCUAGAGGACAAAUAUUCUCCUCUAGAAAUGAAUUUGUUCCACUUCUCUAUGAAUCAAACACCCAUAAAGUUGGGCUUGCCCAUCCAUCCUAUCCCACUUCAUCCCACCAACCAAAUAAAAACACUCUUGACAGUGUGGCCAAAAUAAAAUAAGACAAGCCUAAUUACACAAUUGACACUCCCAACUAAAUAACAAUGUGUCAUAACUAUGCAGGGUGAAUUGGAACAUUAAAACGUAAUCUGGGCUCCUACUAAAUAUAUUACUAAAGAUAAACAUAAACAUGUCUAUUUAGGUGUGUUAUAUGAAUUACCACUGGCUCUAACAAAGUAAAUUACACACAAGUAGCAACAAGUUAAUAAACUGGAAACAUAAAAGUGGAAAUUAUAAAGAGGGAGCAAACUAGGCAUAACGAUUUAUCUUGUGGUAUCAGUUUGCAAUCUUCUACCCAUAAUCCAUGUUGGAGCUACACCAAGUUUAUUUUUCCCUUUGUUAUUACAGGGACUUGGUUGGAUUACCACCACGUACAAUGGCAAGCACCAAGAUAGACGAACCACUAGCCAUAAAAGACAGGUCUCACCAGAACAUCUCUCUUCCUGUCACUUGAUUUGCAUCCCUGUACAACUUCUUGCUACCUCUUCAACAAGUCGGAGGGUUGAUAAUCUUGCUGCAGAUAAGGUCCUAAUAAUAAGGCUCCAAGGUUGAAGCAGCAACAAGGACCAUGCAAUCAUUCUCUUUAUGCCUAUUCUUUCAGUAAUUACUCACUAAUAAGCACUAACAGGAUGAUCACUUUAUCAUCUA
rnacentral:lncRNA from 1 species